rnacentral:rRNA from 1 species
UACGUAGGGACCGAGCGUUGUCCGGAAUCAUUGGGCGUAAAGAGCGUGUAGGCGGCCACUUAAGUCCUGCGUGAAAUCUUGCGGCUCAACCGCAAGCGGUCGUGGGAAACUGGGUGGCUAGAGUGCGGGAGAGGAGAGUGGAAUUCCGUGGUGUAGCGGUGGAAUGCGCAGAUAUCAGGAAGAACACCCGUGGCGAAGGCGGCUCUCUGGAACGCAACUGACGCUGAGACGCGAAAGCGUGGGGAGCAAACAGG